UACAACAGUCGUGGAAAUCUGCUAUAAAAGCAGUACGUUUUGGGAGGAGACAGCAGUCGAGGCGAGCGAUUAAGUUACAUAUAUAAACUUUCAUUUUAUAUCUCGUUUAAUUGUGUUAAGAGUAUACUCUCUUUAAUUACAACAAUGGCAUCAGUGAAGGGUGAAAAACCAGUAGGCACACAGCUGUUUGGGCAGGCCAAAAAGCAGGAUCCUGCGCCCAAGGCUGGUGACAAUGCCACCAAAGCUCCGGCAUCCAAGUCGGGUGCAAAGAAGGCCGCACCAAAGCCUCAGGAACCUAAGAAAAAGGGAAAAGGAGGCAAAUCAGCAUCAAAGCACUAACCAAACUAGUUCAAAGCUGCGUGACAAAAGCAGCUACAAGAAGAUCAAAGUUAUAUUUGUAUAAUAGUACUCAUGAUAUUCCUAUAUAUGGUUUAGUUAAUUUGUAUAAUCAUGGGAAAUCGAUAUCUAUGUACGUCAGCUGGUUAGGCAUGGCGCCCUAUUGAAAUAACAACGAUCUUCUUCUUC